rnacentral:rRNA from 1 species
UACGUAGGGGGCAAGCGUUGUUCGGAAUUACUGGGCGUAAAGGGCGCGUAGGCGGCACGGCAAGUCGGGAGUGAAAGGCCUGGGCUCAACCGAGGAACUGCUUUCGAGACUGCCGAGCUAGAGUGCGGAAGGGGCAUCUGGAAUUCCCAGUGUAGCGGUGAAAUGCGUAGAUAUUGGGAAGAACACCUGAGGCGAAGGCGGGAUGCUGGGCCGACACUGACGCUGAGGCGCGAAAGCCAGGGGAGCAAACGGG